CUAAAGAUAGGUUAAAAAAACCACUGAGCUGUGGAUUCAGAAAUGUUAAUUAUAUACUCUUUUUC
rnacentral:tRNA from 1 species